rnacentral:rRNA from 1 species
UGGGGAAUAUUGGACAAUGGGCUCAAGCCUGAUCCAGCCAUGCCGCGUGAGUGAUGAAGGCCCUAGGGUUGUAAAGCUCUUUCACCGGUGAAGAUAAUGACGGUAACCGUAGAAGAAGCCCCGGCUAACUUCGUGCCAGCAGCCGCGGUCAUACGAAGGGGGCUAGCGUUGUUCGGAUUUACUGGGCGUAAAGCGCACGUAGGCGGACUUUUAAGUCAGGGGUGAAAUCCCGGGGCUGAACCCCGGAACUGCCUUUGAUACUGGAAGUCUUGGGUAUGGUAGAGGUGAGUGGAAUUCCGAGUGUAGAGGUGAAAUUCGAAGAUAUUCGGAGGAAAACCAGUGGCGAAGGCGGCUCACUGGACAAUUACUGACGCUGAGGUGCGAAAGCGUGGGGAGCAAACAGG